rnacentral:lncRNA from 1 species
CCCAGUCUCCAUCAUAGCAUCCAUCAGUAGAUGUUAAUCUUCCACGGUGUCCUUCAGUAGACACCAAUCUUUCUUAUCUUCAUUGGCACCCAUCAGUAGAUGCCUAAUCACCCAACAUCCAUCAGUAGAUGUCUAGUUACCAUCCUCUUCCAUAGUAGCAUCCAUCAAUAGAUGUUAUCUCAACCUCUUCCAGCAUCCAUCAAUAGAUGCGACUCUUUCUCAUCAACAUCUUUCAUUAGAUGUUAAUUUUUCUCUUCUUCAUCAGUAUCCAUCAGUAGACGCUGUCAGUACUGCCAUCAGAAGCAGCGCAUAACCUAAAAAAAAACUUAAACACACAAAAACAAAAUCAAAUCCAAACCACACAAAUAAUAAAAUAAAAAAAUUAAAAUAGAAUAAAAUAAGAUAAAUAAAAUCAC